GUAUUUAAGCGAAGCGGGGCGCGCGCGCGAACCGGCGGCGCGCGCGGCCCCAGAACAUGUCCAUAUAUGGCGAUCUUUCCGAACGCCGGGCGCCCAUUGGCCCGCCCGAGAGGGGCACGUGGGGCCCCUCGCCCGGUCCCGCCCCCCGCCCGCACCGCCCCCAACCGCCCCGCCCGCGCUGCCCCCGGGCGCUGGAGACCCCCAGAAUGAGACCCCGCACUGACCGGCGCGCGGGCAGGAUGGGUGGGCGCCCCCGGGGGGCUGCAGGGGUGGUCGCAGAGGAGGCCGGGAGCUGACCUGGGGGCCCCGCCCCGGGACUGUCGCGCGCCGUGGGGGAGGGCCUGGCUGCACCCCGAAACUGCCUGGCCCGGGGCUGGGCGGCACCCGGAACAGGGGGAGUCCUGGGGAGCCGUGACCUCGACACUGUCUGGAUGGGAAGGAGCCGCUCGUCCCCCACCGCAGCCAGGACCGCGGAAACAGGCAGGGAAGAAGUCUUGACUGCCUAAACGGUCAACUCCCCCGCUAAACUUGAAGGUGGCACCCUCUCUUCUGUCUAAGUUAUGUGUGUGUGUGUGUCUGUGUGCGUGCGUACAGUCGCUCAGUUGU
ensembl:lncRNA